rnacentral:rRNA from 1 species
UACGGAGGGUGCGAGCGUUGUCCGGAAUCACUGGGCGUAAAGGGCGCGUAGGCGGCUUGGGAAGUCUGUGGUGAAAGCUCGUGGCUCAACUGCGAGUCGGCCAUAGAUACUCCUAAGCUCGAGUCGACUAGAGGCAGAUGGAAUUCCGGGUGUAGCGGUGGAAUGCGUAGAGAUCCGGAAGAACACCAGUGGCGAAGGCGACUUACUGGACACAUAUUGACGCUGAGGUGCGAAAGCGUGGGGAGCAAACAGG